UCCUGGUGGCGAAGCAGGGGAAGAAGAAGUUUAAGGCCCAGCUGCUCCACCUGGAAGAGCAGCCAUCCAGGGAGACGAUGAAGGCAUUUGCCACAAUUAAAGGGGUCUUCGAGACCUUCCUCAACUACUGUUCCUAUUGCCACCAGGAAAUUUUUGAUGGGAAUGUCCUUCGUGAAAGACAUAAAAAGGGGCAGAAACAGCUAUUUAUGCAGUGGCAUCCUUGCCCUUUAUGUGGCAAAAGGUGGAGGUCAUUGUGGACCAAUGUGGAGAAUAUUGUGUAAAUAAGGAAGAAGAAAAUAAAUGAUAAUAGUCAUCUUUAUCUUCACCUGGUCUUUAUGUCUUGUCUCUGUUUUGCUCAGCUAAUGACAUGAACUACAUUCUGGAGAGGAAGUUAAAUAAAUAGGCCCAUGUAUAAAAAAACAA